rnacentral:rRNA from 1 species
AUGGCCGCCAGUGAGGAGGGGGUGCGGGUGGUAGAGUCCUGCUUUGUAAAGCCGGCCUCAGACACACCGAGAAAAGCGAUCUGGCUCUCGCCACUCGACAUCAUGCUGGCCAGAAGAGGCUACACUCCACUCAUCCACUUCUACCGCCCUUGUGUCGACGAAACCAGUACCCAACACUUCUUUGACGUGGCUAGGUUGAAGACUGCGUUGAGCAAGGCCCUUGUGGCCUUCUACCUCAUGGCCGGCCGGCUUAGGCUGGGUGCCCAUGGCAGGUUGGAGAUUGACUGCAAUGGUAAGGGCAUGCUCUUUCUUGUGACCUACUCUCGUCUCACCAUCAAUGACUUUCGCGACUUCAAGCCAUCACCAAAGCUAAGGAGGUUGUUUGUUCCCCGCAUGGACGACUCAUCCAACAUCCUCUGCGCCACCCAGGUAACAUUCUUCAAGUGUGGUGGAGUGGCCUUAGGGACGGCAACGCACCAAGGCGCUAUGGACGGAACUGCGGCGUUUCACUUCUUCCAGACAUGGUCAGCCUUCUCCAGGGAUGGCGACCGGGAUGUGGUGAAGCUCCCCUACCUUGACCGCACCCUCUUGUGCGCGCGCGACCCACCCAUUAUUCAUCCGGACACCCUCUCCCUAUUCUGCCUCAAGACAACAAACUUGUCCCAGCCGCCGGCGCCAAGGCCUGUCGUUGUCAACGAGGUUUUCACCCUCCGCAAGGAUCAAAUUUCCGCUCUUAAGCACAUGUGUGGCGGCGGCGGCGUGAGCACCUUCAGCGCCGUGAGCGCAUACAUGUGGCGGUGCAUGUGCUUAGCCCGGCGGCUACUGCCAGACUCCACGACGCGCCUAGAGUUCCCGGCCAACUUCCGACGCGGCAUUGCGCCACCGCUCCCGGACGUCUACUUCGGCAACGCGAUGUUGCAAGUAAGUGUCGCCGACAAAACAUGGGACGUCGUCUCAGGCAAUCUAGCCCAGGUCGCACACCGGAUCAGAGACACUCUCAGCCGGGUGACCGACGAGCUGGUGCGUUCGGCGGUCGACUACCUCGAGCUCGACCUGGCAGAGAGGGACAACCGCCCGGCUAUCGGCGUUCUGCCAGCGACGGACCUGUGUGUGGUCAGCUGGCUCGGCAUGCCCUUGUACGAUGUGGAUUUCAGCUGGGGAAAGCGUUCGCUAUGUUGCGUGCCGAGCAAAACCGCGGAGGUUUCGUGCUCAUGA